rnacentral:rRNA from 1 species
CCUACGGGAGGCUGCAGUGGGGAAUAUUGGACAAUGGGCGCAAGCCUGAUCCAGCAAUGCCGCGUGUGUGAAGAAGGCCUUCGGGUUGUAAAGCACUUUUAUCAGGAGCGAAAUGCCAUGGGCUAAUACCCCGUGGAGCUGACGGUACCUGAGGAAUAAGCACCGGCUAACUUCGUGCCAGCAGCCGCGGUAAUACGAAGGGUGCAAGCGUUAAUCGGAGUUACUGGGCGUAAAGGGUGCGUAGGCGGUUGAAAUCCCCGGGCUCAACCUGGGAAUGGCGGUGGAUACUGGAUAGCUAGAGUGUGUCAGAGGAUGGUGGAAUUCCCGGUGUAGCGGUGAAAUGCGUAGAGAUCGGGAGGAACAUCAGUGGCGAAGGCGGCCAUCUGGGACAACACUGACGCUGAAGCACGAAAGCGUGGGGAGCAAACAGGAUUAGAUACCCCAGUAGUC